GAUGAACGCUGGCGGCGUGCCUAAUACAUGCAAGUCGAGCGAACGGACGAGAAGCUUGCUUCUCUGAUGUUAGCGGCGGACGGGUGAGUAACACGUGGAUAACCUACCUAUAAGACUGGGAUAACUUCGGGAAACCGGAGCUAAUACCGGAUAAUAUUUUGAACCGCAUGGUUCAAAAGUGAAAGACGGUCUUGCUGUCACUUAUAGAUGGAUCCGCGCUGCAUUAGCUAGUUGGUAAGGUAACGGCUUACCAAGGCAACGAUGCAUAGCCGACCUGAGAGGGUGAUCGGCCACACUGGAACUGAGACACGGUCCAGGCUCCUACGGGAGGCAGCAGUAGGGAAUCUUCCGCAAUGGGCGAAAGCCUGACGGAGCAACGCCGCGUGGGUGAUGAAGGUCUUCGGAUCGUAAAACUCUGUUAUUAGGGAAGAACAUAUGUGUAAGUAACUGUGCACAUCUUGACGGUACCUAAUCAGAAAGCCACGGCUAACUACGUG
rnacentral:rRNA from 1 species